rnacentral:rRNA from 1 species
AUUGAACGCUGGCGGCAGGCUUAACACAUGCAAGUCGAGCGGAGCGAGGGUGCUUGCACCUUAGCUUAGCGGCGGACGGGUGAGUAAUGCUUAGGAAUCUGCCUAUUAGUGGGGGACAACAUUCCGAAAGGAAUGCUAAUACCGCAUACGCCCUACGGGGGAAAGUAGGGGAUCUUCGGACCUUGCGCUAAUAGAUGAGCCUAAGUCGGAUUGGCUAGUUGGUGAGGUAAAGGCCUACCAAGGCGACGAUCUAUAGCGGGUCUGAGAGGAUGAUCCGGCACACUGGGACUGGGACACGGCCCAGACUCCUACGGGAGGCAGCAGUGGGGAAUAGUGGACAAUGGGCGGAAGCCUGAUCCAGCCAUGCCGCGUGUGUGAAGAAGGCCUUUUGGUUGUAAAGCACUCUAAGCGAGGAGGAGGCUCUUAAGGUUAAUACCCUUGAUGAGUGGACGUUACUCGCAGAAUAAGCACCGGCUAACUCUGUGCCAGCAGCCGCCGUAAAAC